AAGACCUUGCGCUUUUGGAGCGGCCGAUGUCUGAUUAGCUAGUUGGUGGGGUAAUGGCCUACCAAAGCUUCGAUCAGUAGCUGGUCUGAGAGGACGGCCAGCCACACUGGGACUGAGACACGGCCCAGACUCCUACGGGAGGCAGCAGUGGGGAAUUUUGGACAAUGGGCGCAAGCCUGAUCCAGCCAUGCCGCGUGAGUGAAGAAGGCCUUCGGGUUGUAAAGCUCUUUCAGCCGGGAAGAAAAGGUUGCGAUUAAUAAACGCAAUUGAUGACGGUACCGGAAGAAGAGGCACCGGCUAACUACGUGCCAGCAGCCGCGGUAAUACGUAGGGUGCGAGCGUUAAUCGGAAUUACUGGGCGUAAAGGGUGCGCAGGCGGUUUUGUAAGUCAGAUGUGAAAUCCCCGGGCUUAACCUGGGAACU
rnacentral:rRNA from 1 species